CUGGUUGAUCCUGCCAGUAGUCAUAUGCUUGUCUCAAAGAUUAAGCCAUGCAUGUCUCGGUAUAAGCUCUAGUCUGGCGAAACUGCGAAUGGCUCAUUACAACAGUUAUAACCUAUUUGAUGGUCAUUCCUACAUGGAUAACUGUGGUAAUUCUAGAGCUAAUACAUGCUACAGAACUCGACUCUGCGGAAGGGUUGCGCUUACUAGCCACAGAACCAACGCAGGCUCUGCCUGAUUGUUUGGUGAGUCAUGGUACGACAAUGAAUUGCACAGCACCAGCUGGCGAUAGAUCAUUCAGGCUUCUGACCUAUCAGCUUUCGACGGUAGGGUAUUGGCUUACCGUGGCGAUGACGGGUAACGGAGAAUUAGGGUUCGAUUCCGGAGAGGGAGCCUGAGAAAUGGCUACCACAUCUAAGGAAGGCAGCAGGCGCGCAAAUUACCCAAUUCUGACACAGGGAGGUAGUGACAAGAAAUAACAAUACAGGGCAUCCAUGUCUUGUAAUUGGAAUGAGUGUGAUUUAAACCCCUUUAUGAGUAUCGAUUGGAGGGCAAGUCUGGU
rnacentral:rRNA from 1 species